rnacentral:tRNA from 1 species
AAGAAAGAAACAUAAUGGUUUGUAUGUGGUUGGCUUGAAACUAAUUGAAGGGGGUUCGAUUCCCUCCUUUCUUG